rnacentral:lncRNA from 1 species
UAAAAUUCAAAACCCCUAAAAUCCAAACCCAAAAAUCCAAAUCCCUAAAAUCCAAAAUCCAUAAAAUUCAAACCCUUAAAUCAAAACCCCAAACCACAAAACCCAAAUCCUAAAAUCUCCAAACUCUAAAAUCAAAACCAUAAACCUUCCAUAUCCUAAAAUUUAAGCUUUAAAACCCUAUAAACCUUAAACCAAACCUUC